CGAAGGGGGCUAGCGUUGUUCGGAAUUACUGGGCGUAAAGCGCGCGUAGGCGGUGAUCUUUGUCAGAGGUGAAAUCCCGAGGCUCAACUUCGGAAUUGCCUUUGAAACGGGAUCGCUUGAGUCCGAGAGAGGAUGGCGGAAUUCCUAGUGUAGAGGUGAAAUUCGUAGAUAUUAGGAAGAACACCGGUGGCGAAGGCGGCCAUCUGGCUCGGUACUGACGCUCAGGCGCGAAAGCGUGGGGAGCAAACAGGAUUAGAUACCCUGGUAGUCCACGCCGUAAACUAUGAAUGCUAGUUGUUGGGGGGUUUACCUCUCAGUGACGCAGCUAACGCGUUAAGCAUUCCGCCUGGGGAGUACGGUCGCAAGAUUA
rnacentral:rRNA from 1 species